CUAGGCUGACCAUGAUGCAUGCAUAGUUUAAAUAGAGUAAGGUCUCUAUGGGGUUUUAGACCGCUACCCUUGAAAGGACAACGCAGGGGGAAAGGCACGGAACCAUCGACUUGACGUUGAUUGACUAGUUUUACCGAUUGCCUUUUUCGGAUUUAGGGGUGAUAAUAUCGGAAGAGCGCAAGCACUCAUUAUAAGCGUUUCUAUUGGAU
rnacentral:lncRNA from 1 species